UACGGGGGGGGCAAGCGUUGUUCGGAAUUACUGGGCGUAAAGGGCUCGUAGGCGGCCAACUAAGUCGGAUGUGAAAUCCCCAGGCUCAACUUGGGAACUGCAUCCGAUACUGGAUGGCUUGAAUUCGGGAGAGGGAUGCAGAAUUCCAGGUGUAGCGGUGAAAUGCGUAGAUAUCUGGAGGAAUACCGGUGGCGAAAGCGACUUUCUGGGGCGUUCCUGACGCUGAGGUUCGAAAGCUCGGGGAGCAAACAGG
rnacentral:rRNA from 1 species